rnacentral:lncRNA from 1 species
UACCUGUGAAAUGAAACCAUUUAUUUAUUUGUAUUUAUUGUUUAUUUGUAUUUAUCACAGAUAUCUUUUUCUACCUGCAGGGUCUUAAGGGUUACCCAGGACUGCAAGGGCCACGGGGAGAGCAGGGAAUUCCAGGAAUGGCUGGCAGUAUUGGGGCAGUUGGUUACCCUGGCAGGCAGGGCCUAGCUGGACCAGAAGGUAACCCAGGUCCUAAAGGAGUAAGAG